ACUUCAGAAGUAGAGUCCUUCUCUGCAAUUACUUAUCACUCUGCUCUUAUUAUUUAUGGUGGGGAAGGGGAAUUGUGGUUGCUGCAGAUGAGAAGACAAUCUGUGUCUUGACAGAUAUUAGAGUUCUUACCAGCACUUAUUGGACCUCCAGUAGGUUAUAGGUUUUGAAACAUCAUGGGAAAUCCAUUAAAAGGCGAGACUAGGCAUCUAUUUGUGGGAGGUGCAAACUCUACUGGAAAGAUCACAGUUUUCUCUCUUUGUAAAAUUUUAUAGGCUUUCUAAUCUUGUCACUUCUGUGGGUUUUUUUUAGUACUGAUAGGAAAGUCUGCUUUUAGGAUAGUUCAGCCUCAUUAUGGACAACUGGGCAAUAUUUCACCGUAACAACUGGUGCAAUAUUUCCCUUUAUUUGUUAAACAAACAUUUGCAAACACUACAGUUAUUGUUAAUCAUAUAAAUACAAACUAGACAUACUCUAAUGUGUAAUUUUUCAAUGGUUCAGAAGAUAAAAUUGUGGUUUUUUUUAAAAAAAACUUUUUCUUAUAAAAUAGUUUGUGAGAUAAUCCUCACUACAUUUCAUGCCAUGCUGCCCAAUCAGAAUAAUUUUACACUGCUGAACACCUAUUACAUGCUAGUUGCAGAGAUAAAACUAAAGGUGUAUGCUUUCAUAAAACUGAUGUUUUAUUGUAGAUUUGUGAGAGUCCAGCUAAAUGAUAGAACUUAGAAACCUAGAAUUAAAAUUUAGAUUCCUUCCUUCCAAAGACAUACUGAUUUACUUCUUGUUUGUACAUAGCAGGAUCAACUAUCAGCGAAGUAUAAUGACCAUUUGUAGAAGAUGGCUCAUUAGUCAAAUCAAAUAGUAAUAUUAGCAUAUUGAAAAUAUUCAAUCUCAUGUGUAGAAAAAAAUAUCCACAAGCUAAGCAACAUGUUGUUACGUUACAACUUCCAAUUUUAUCUUUCAUUCAGUCAGUUUCAUUUCCUUUUGGAGAGAAGAUCUUGCAGUGUCACUCAAACUGGACUAGAUAGACCUAACUCUCCUUCGGUCUCUACCUCCUAAGUGCUUCAGUAAAUUAUUUCUCUCAAUGAAAAUCAUAACCCUAAAAUUUAAACUCAAACAUAUUAGGUAACAUAUUUAAUAAGACUAAGAUCACUAUUCAAAAUCUCUACCUAAAUUACUGUCUAAUAUUUAGAUUCCAGAGACAAUAAUUACUUUAAAUGUGAAAUAGGGGAAUAUAAAGGUAGUCCCUUGGCAGAAUUUGUGGUGUAUAGAGGAAUAUGAGGUCCAAUUCUACUUUUUAAAUGACUGGGUUCUAAAAGAUGAAAAGAUAAGCAGACAUGAAAAUCCAAACUCUAAAGCAAGGAACCUCAGAUGCAUGCAUCCAGGCCAAAUCACUCUCCUCUUACAUGAUUUCCUUAAGCAGGCUCUCUUUCAAAAUAUUAUUGAAUCAAAGACAGCUACAUAAUGGCAGCAUUUGAAUUGUUUGUUAAAGCUGGAAAGACCAGAAUUUAUAGAGUAUAAUUCCCUCAUUGCUACAAAAAAUACUGAAACCCACAGAAAGAAAGUGACAUUUCUAAGGUGACCUCUUUGAUCAGUAGCAGAUCAACCACUGGACAUCAGGAUUUCUCAAACUCAAUGAGCUCAUAGAUUUGCCUUUGAGUGGUUUAAGAAAGAACCAAGAAUACCC